ACAGAUCGCACCCAGACACUGCAUGAUCAUGUAGAAGACAGCCCUGGUCAGGGACAGCUUCCGUGCCAGCAGUAAACCAAAAGUCACAGCUGGGUUGAUGUGCCCACCUGUUACCAACACCACAUAAUACCAGAUCCACUAAAUAAAAUUGCAUUAAGAAAUUUAAGCAACCUCCAGUACAAAUAUACAACUGAUCAAAGAUUUGAAGAAAAAAAAAAACCAACUUCAAACUCAAAACAACUAAAACAGAGUAAACCUGAUCUGAGAAUUUUACAUGCCCUUAAAAGUUUUUAAGGAUAUACUAAAUAAGUUAGUAAAAAUGGUUAGAGAAAGAUACUACCUAAAAUAGUUCAAAUUCAAAACAAAUCACUAAAAAACUUCAGGAAGAUUAAACCCAUGAAACAGAUCUGAGAAUCCGAGAUAUCCAUAUAAGAUUUUACAAGGAAAUUUGUGAAGAAAAAGGUUAGAGAGAGAUACUAACCAGAAAUACCGGCAGUACAGUAGACAAGAGCAAAGAUCAUGCCACCAAAGGCCCAAGCAAUUCCUUGAAUACCAACAGAAGCACACAUGGAAUCAGAUCUUUUGACACCCAUGACAGUCAGGAUAGUGAUGUAGAGGAACAAGAAGGUAGCAAUGAACUCUGCAAUUCCAGCUCUGUAGAAAGACCAUGACUUGAGCUCUCCGGGCUCAAACAGCGGUGCAGGUGGUGGCUCCUUGUAAUCCUUAUCUGUCUGAGCUGCUGUCCCUAUGGGCUGCCUCUCUGAGAACUUGUUUGCUCCCAGCUUAACAUCCUCUUCUUUCCCCUCCAUUUUCACCCUCAACAAAGCAAGAUUCUUUCUCUGGAGUUUUAAGCUACUGGAC
rnacentral:lncRNA from 1 species